rnacentral:rRNA from 1 species
UCAGGCCUAUCUCAUGCAAGUCGAACGGUAUCGGGCCUUCGGGUGUUGACGAGUGGCGAGCGGGUGAGUAAUGUAUCGGAACGUGCCCAGUAGUGGGGGAUAGCCCGGCGAAAGCCGGAUUAAUAGCGCAUAUGACAUUCGGGUGAAAGGGGGGGAUCGCUAGACGCUCUCGCUAUUGGAGCGGCCGAUAUCAGAUUAGGUAGUUGGUGGGGUAAAGGCAUGCCAAGCCUGUGAUCUGUAGUUGGUCUGAGUGGAUGUCCAGCUACACUGGGAGUGAGACACGGCCCAGACUCCUUCGGGAGGCAGCAGUGGGGAAUUUUGGUCAAUGGGUUCAAGCCUGAUCCAAAGGUGCCGCGUGCAGGAAGAAGGCCUUCGGGU